AUGGAUUGGCUUCGUUUCGGCGCACCCAAAGUGAGCCUCCUCUUCUCUCGUCUCCGCCACAAGCUGCCCACCAGUGCCAGGGCGCGCUGUACAGAUCACACAGAACCAGCGGCCCCUCUCUCGUGUGCAUCGGAUGAGGUGCGUUGCGCCAACUGCUCGCUCCGCAGUGGCCAGGCCUUUUUCUUUACUCAAACAAAAGCCGUCGCUUUGCGCCGAGCUGCGCGCACACGAGUCGGGUUUUCACAAGACCAUUUUCUUUUUGAGGAUAACACUAUCAUUAUGCGUGAAGAAACGAACCCUGGACUGCUACUCGCCACGGUCGAAAAGAAAAGGAAAGGAUAA
rnacentral:rRNA from 1 species